UUAAGCGACUAAGCGUACACGGUGGAUGCCCUGGCAGUCAGAGGCGAUGAAGGGCGUGCUAAUCUGCGAUAAGCGCCGGUAAGGUGAUAUGAACCGUUAUAACCGGCGAUACCCGAAUGGGGAAACCCAGUGUGAUUCGUCACACUAUCAUUAACUGAAUCCAUAGGUUAAUGAGGCGAACCGGGGGAACUGAAACAUCUAAGUACCCCGAGGAAAAGAAAUCAACCGAGAUUCCCCCAGUAGCGGCGAGCGAACGGGGAGGAGCCCAGAGCCUGAAUCAGCAUGUGUGUUAGUGGAAGCGUCUGGAAAGGUGCGCGAUACAGGGUGACAGCCCCGUACACAAAAGCGCAUGUGCUGUGAGCUCGAUGAGUAGGGCGGGACACGUGGUAUCCUGUCUGAAUAUGGGGGGACCAUCCUCCAAGGCUAAAUACUCCUGACUGACCGAUAGUGAACCAGUACCGUGAGGGAAAGGCGAAAAGAACCCCGGCGAGGGGAGUGAAAAAGAACCUGAAACCGUGUACGUACAAGCAGUGGGAGCACAGGUUUACCUGUGUGACUGCGUACCUUUUGUAUAAUGGGUCAGCGACUUAUAUUCUGUAGCAAGGUUAACCGUAUAGGGGAGCCGUAGGGAAACCGAGUCUUAACCGGGCGUUAAGUUGCAGGGUAUAGACCCGAAACCCGGUGAUCUAGCCAUGGGCAGGUUGAAGGUUGGGUAACACUAACUGGAGGACCGAACCGACUAAUGUUGAAAAAUUAGCGGAUGACCUGUGGCUGGGGGUGAAAGGCCAAUCAAACCGGGAGAUAGCUGGUUCUCCCCGAAAGCUAUUUAGGUAGCGCCUCGUGAAUUCAUCUCCGGGGGUAGAGCACUGUUUCGGCUAGGGGGCCAUCCCGGCUUACCAACCCGAUGCAAACUGCGAAUACCGGAGAAUGUUAUCACGGGAGACACACGGCGGGUGCUAACGUCCGUCGUGAAGAGGGAAACAACCCAGACCGCCAGCUAAGGUCCCAAAGUCAUGGUUAAGUGGGAAACGAUGUGGGAAGGCCCAGACAGCCAGGAUGUUGGCUUAGAAGCAGCCAUCAUUUAAAGAAAGCGUAAUAGCUCACUGGUCGAGUCGGCCUGCGCGGAAGAUGUAACGGGGCUAAACCAUGCACCGAAGCUGCGGCAGCGAACGUAUCACCCAAGACAACUUUACGGAGUUGACGAUUGACGGAGCGAAGCGACGUCAAAGCGUUCAUUAAAGUCGAGUUGGCUUAGGGAUACGUUCGUUGGGUAGGGGAGCGUUCUGUAAGCCUGUGAAGGUGUGUCGUGAGGCAUGCUGGAGGUAUCAGAAGUGCGAAUGCUGACAUAAGUAACGAUAAAGCGGGUGAAAAGCCCGCUCGCCGGAAGACCAAGGGUUCCUGUCCAACGUUAAUCGGGGCAGGGUGAGUCGACCCCUAAGGCGAGGCCGAAAGGCGUAGUCGAUGGGAAACGGGUUAAUAUUCCCGUACUUGGUGUUACUGCGAAGGGGGGACGGAGAAGGCUAUGUUGGCCGGGCGACGGUUGUCCCGGUUUAAGCGUGUAGGUGUGUGUUCCAGGUAAAUCCGGUUCACUUUAACACUGAGGCGUGACGACGAGGCACUACGGUGCUGAAGCAACAAAUGCCCUGCUUCCAGGAAAAGCCUCUAAGCAUCAGGUAACACGAAAUCGUACCCCAAACCGACACAGGUGGUCAGGUAGAGAAUACCAAGGCGCUUGAGAGAACUCGGGUGAAGGAACUAGGCAAAAUGGUGCCGUAACUUCGGGAGAAGGCACGCUGACACGUAGGUGAAGUGAUUUACUCAUGGAGCUGAAGUCAGUCGAAGAUACCAGCUGGCUGCAACUGUUUAUUAAAAACACAGCACUGUGCAAACACGAAAGUGGACGUAUACGGUGUGACGCCUGCCCGGUGCCGGAAGGUUAAUUGAUGGGGUCAGCGCAAGCGAAGCUCCUGAUCGAAGCCCCGGUAAACGGCGGCCGUAACUAUAACGGUCCUAAGGUAGCGAAAUUCCUUGUCGGGUAAGUUCCGACCUGCACGAAUGGCGUAAUGAUGGCCAGGCUGUCUCCACCCGAGACUCAGUGAAAUUGAACUCGCUGUGAAGAUGCAGUGUACCCGCGGCAAGACGGAAAGACCCCGUGAACCUUUACUAUAGCUUGACACUGAACAUUGAGCCUUGAUGUGUAGGAUAGGUGGGAGGCUUUGAAGUGUGGACGCCAGUCUGCAUGGAGCCGACCUUGAAAUACCACCCUUUAAUGUUUGAUGUUCUAACGUGGACCCGUAAUCCGGGUUGCGGACAGUGUCUGGUGGGUAGUUUGACUGGGGCGGUCUCCUCCUAAAGAGUAACGGAGGAGCACGAAGGUUGGCUAAUCCUGGUCGGACAUCAGGAGGUUAGUGCAAUGGCAUAAGCCAGCUUGACUGCGAGCGUGACGGCGCGAGCAGGUGCGAAAGCAGGUCAUAGUGAUCCGGUGGUUCUGAAUGGAAGGGCCAUCGCUCAACGGAUAAAAGGUACUCCGGGGAUAACAGGCUGAUACCGCCCAAGAGUUCAUAUCGACGGCGGUGUUUGGCACCUCGAUGUCGGCUCAUCACAUCCUGGGGCUGAAGUAGGUCCCAAGGGUAUGGCUGUUCGCCAUUUAAAGUGGUACGCGAGCUGGGUUUAGAACGUCGUGAGACAGUUCGGUCCCUAUCUGCCGUGGGCGCUGGAGAACUGAGGGGGGCUGCUCCUAGUACGAGAGGACCGGAGUGGACGCAUCACUGGUGUUCGGGUUGUCAUGCCAAUGGCACUGCCCGGUAGCUAAAUGCGGAAGAGAUAAGUGCUGAAAGCAUCUAAGCACGAAACUUGCCCCGAGAUGAGUUCUCCCUGAGACUUAGAGUCUCCUGAAGGAACGUUGAAGACGACGACGUUGAUAGGCCGGGUGUGUAAGCGCAGCGAUGCGUUGAGCUAACCGGUACUAAUGAACCGUGAGGCUUAACCU
rnacentral:rRNA from 1 species